GUUACCUAACUGUUUUGCCUGACAUCUGAAUGGUAGCAGCUAGAAGCAUGGAACUGGUCCUGUUUGAAAGAAUUCCAGGCUUUCAUACAAGACCAAAUUUACAGCAUUAGUCCAAGCAACAGAGGAGAUAUCGCUAAAUGUGGCAUCAAUGUAAAGACCCACAAAAUAAAGUGUGGUUAUUUUUAGCACACAGUGGAAUAAACUCCACAAAAUUCAUGUUUUUUUUCAAUCUUUCCCCC